rnacentral:misc_RNA from 1 species
ACCCAAGUCUUAUUAUUUGAAUAAUAGCGUUGUUAUUGUGAGGUUAAAUCAAAAUGUCAACUUAAAAUAAAUGAAAUAGCAUGGACGGAGGAGAUCCUAAUCAAUUGUCCCAGUUCCCGAGUGGCUCUCAGCCCUUCUCAGCAUGGUCUUCAUCAAAUCCUCCACAACCCUUUUAUCAACUACAGAAUAGCUUUUCAACAGGAAAUUUGUUAAGCCAAGGUUUUGGGCUUAGGGGGGCUGCCUCUUCAUGCAUCACAAGCACAUUUAGGUCCCAUGUCUCCCUAUCAAUCCAUCAUUUUUGCGCCUAUUCAAAACUAUCCAGAUCUAAUAGCCGGAGACAUCACAGGAGAUGAAUUCUCAGAUGCACUUUCAACUAUUGAGCCUGACGUUAUUCCAACAGAACUUAUAGAACCUACUUACCAAAAUGAAGGAGAACCUCCACAAAAUACGUAUAUGAAUGAGAAUAACUUAAAAUCACAGCCCACGUAUGCCAAUGAUGAAGAAGGGGACACUUCUCCCGCCUAUAUAAAUGAAGAAACUGUGGAAGAAAUAAAAAAAAGAAUUGACUAAUAAUUUGAAGAAUCAUCGAAAUAAUCUUCUUCCAUUGCAGAGAUCUGCUUCGACUUUUGUCCGAGGAGAGCCAAUAGCUCCACCAAGAAGCAGAAGAAGCAGUGCAAGAUCUUCAUUAGCAAGUUCAACUGUGUCUCUUAAUAUUUUUGGAUCUUGUGCAUCUCUUAAAGAGUGUCAUCCUGUUCAUGUUGGAAAGGAUCCUCCUUCUCGUCCUCUAAGACGAAGGGAUCGUCUUCGAAGAACAGCGAAGCAUUUAACUUCAAUACCCAGAAAUAGUGUUGAGUUAACUCAGAUACCUGAAAAUGAAGCUACGUAUGACGUUCCUCGAGAUAGUGAUUUAUGUGUUGCUCCACAUUCACCCCUAAUCGAUGCAAGUGAGAGUCAAAAUCAGAAUGUCGAGGUCUCUCAUAUCAUGUCUUUAUCAAAAACUGAAGAACCCUCGGAUUUCCAUUCAACUACAGCAUCUAUUUCAAAUGUCAAAAGUUCAUUUAUUCCUUUAAAAGAAAAGUCAAUUCUAGCUGAGGACUUUUGUCAUUCUGAAGUCUCCAUUACUCUUGCCAUACCUCCUCUCCCCUUAAAUCUCCCAUCCAUAAAUUCAGAAGAACUUGUAGAGCCUAUUAUUGAUAGUAUCAUUCGAAAGCCAAUGGAUGAUAAUUUUAAGAUACAAGAGGAGGAUUCAGAUAACUUUCAAGAUGCGGAAUAUUCCUCUGACUCUUCGGACAAAAAUGAACUUUCCAUUUGUGAAAGAGGUGAGGAUCUUCUGAAAGAUAUUCGAAAUAUGGACUGUACUAUAAAGAAUAUGGCAAGAGAAGUUACAAAAAUGAUAAAAGUGUACGAUGUGGUGUCCUUCAAAGGAUCUCCUACUAAAGAACAUGUGGUGAUUGACGAGCCAGUAAAAGUUGAAGUGAUUGAUAAAUAUCAAGGUAAUGACUAUGAUAUUCAUGAACAACUCGUGGAGGGAAGAACCCGAGAACAAAUUAAUAAGGACUUUCGGGCCGCCUUUUUCGGUAUAGAGGAUGAUUCAGGGAAUGACUAUGAUUUUUUCGAUGAGGAUGAUAAUAAUAAAAACACCAUCCAGCGUGAAGUUAAAAUAGAUGACAAUUCAGACUAUGAUGAUAUAGUUGAGUUUGUCCCUGAGAUAGUCACCACACCGGGAUCUGAAGACGAUGACGAUGAUGUGACUGAAAUCGUGGAUAUUAGUGAUAAGCAAAAUAAAGACUUACAAAAAGAGAAGGAAUCUGAGAACGAGAGUGACAAUGAGGAAGAGGAUACACUAGACCAAGGAUCCAUGGGUUCCAAUGCACCAAGUUUAUCAGAAAUCGGGGAUAUAGAAGACUAUGAAAAAAUGAGAGAUGAAAGAUAUGACGAAUUAGUAUAUAAAGCCAUGAAGUUUAAUUGGGAUGACGUACAAGGUGAAAAUCCUAAUGGACUUCCGCCCCCACUACUUCUUCAAGAGCAAAUUCGGAAUCUGAAACUGGAUUUGCUUUCUUCGAUAUUUCAAAGAAUCUAUCCUUUGGAAGAGGAUUUACUGUCCAUCAAUAGUUUCAUAUCAUGCCCUGCUUCUUUGGAAGAGAAGUAUAAUAUGAUGAGACUGGCGGAUAUCCUUAAAAAGAAUAAAAAGUCUGGAGUAGAAUUGGAAUGCUUGGCUGAAGCCAUGAGUCAAUUAGCACAAAUAGGCCAGGAGUUAUUAAAACCAGAGGAGGAUCGUGAUCCUUCAUGGAGAUCUAUUCCAGUGGCUAAAGAAAUUACAGUAGUCAAGGGGAUUGCAUCACGUGCUCCAUGGGAACAAAUUCAGGGAGGAACAGAGGUCCUUGAGUCUCUUGGUUACACAGAGUACACUGGAUUUUCUCUUCAAUAUCCCCGCAGUGUGAUCCCGGAUCUUUUUGCAGAUCAUAUUGGUAAUUUAACUGUGGAGUUAGUACUGGCGAGUGUGGAAAUAUCAACUUUAGUAGUACGUGUGUCUCCAACCAUGGACACAUUGAUUCUUCUUCAAGAGGCAGAAGCCUUUCCUGGUAAUGAAGCUGAAGAAUAUGAUUCGUAUACUGAGGAUGGGGGAGAACAUCAAAAGGAGCCUAAAUUGAUCACUAGGCCUUACUCUGCCUUAGUCACGAUGAAUCAUAUGAAUUCCAAUUAUGAUAGUGAUGAAGAUGACUUCUCAGUCCGAUCCCUUCCAAAUUUGAGUCCAGACAAUUAUUACGCCUCCUUUUCCAAUCCAAACAGCCAACCUGCUCAGCAUCACACAUAUCAGAGACGCUCUAUGAUCUUUAUGGAAGGAGAAUAUGAGGAAAUAGGACCUGGAAGUCCUGUUAUGAGAUCCAAUUCAACUCGUAGCAAUGGCAAAAUUAGUAAUCAUCAUCUUUCACGACCCCUUUGUGAUCUCUGCGGUCGAAACCCUGCACUCAUCCGAUGCCAAUACUGCUCUGGACAAAUUUUUUGCAUGUCCUGCGAUGACACAUACCAUAAACAUCCCAAAAGAGCCGUUCAUACACGAAAGGCAUUAAAUGCGUCUCCAAUGAUCCCAUCAGGAGCGGCGCCAACCCUUCCUCCAAAAAACAAAGGCAUUAGUCCCAUCGCCCCACCAAGAAGAAACUCUAGAAAGAGCUCCUUACCGGACGCCUCCAGGUUAACACGUUCUUCUACACUACCACGAAAAGGCUCCAUUCCAAUAGCGGGACGCCCAUUACCCCCACCACCACCUCUGGAGCAAUCACGAGAAAGAGAAUACAACAACACCGCUCCUCCAGUUCCACCCCUUCCUCCAAGCUUCCUCCGUACUCAAAGCCUACAACGUAACGUACAGCCCCCUCCAAUCACUGCUGCAAAGCCCAUUUCUAUGAAGAAUCCGAUUUGUACCACUGUUCAAUCGCGAAUGGAUUCACUUCCAUGUGUGCCAAGGUCCACUAUUCCUACCUUCAAUCCUCAAACAGCUUAUCCGUACCCAAUGGACUCCCACGGGCAGCCCCAACAGAUCAUGACAAACUAUCCAACACAAAAUGGAGGUCAGUCUCAUAAUGAGCUAUGGAAUCAUCCCCCAAGACAAAGCCAUCAUCAACAACAUCAGUAUCUGGAUGAUAUGCAAUUCUCUCAUAUACCCAAUGCUCCUUCGAGUGUUUUAAGUCAUCAAGGCAACAAUCCAACUCAACGACGGAGACGCUUCAACAAUCAACGCCUCAACAAGAGCUCAUCUUUUCACAAUAUAGCACACACAGAAAUGAACGAUCAAGGAAUCACAUGGGAGGACCAAUGGCUUUCCCAGCAGCAGCAGCAGCACAAAUCUCCCAAUUUCCUUCCACCUUUCCAUCAAAACAAUUUCAAAAGAGCUCUCUCUUCAAAGAGUCUCCAUGAUUCUUCAGCAGGAACACAUAACCCCUGGGAUACUCUAAGUAACGGAACUUUCCUACCACAUCCCUUAUUUAAUCCUAUGGGUAGACCUUCUUCCUCGUCUUCAUAUAAUCCAUCAGGUCCUCCACUUAAUAAUAUCCAUCGCUCCAUGCACGAACUUCAUAAUCUCGGGAAUGGAUUUAAUCCCUUUCCUUAUGAUCCCCGACUUCGAAGAAGUUCUCCUGUUCCUUCUGCUUCAGAGAGUCACAAAUCCAAAAAAAAUUCAGAACGGCGAUCGAACAAGGGAGGAAGUCGAAGAAGGAGGCGAUCAUCUUCUGGACGGCAUUCUUCUACAUCAUCUCAUCGAAGGAAAGGUCGCUCACACUCUAGAAGACAUUCUUCUUCCGAGGAUUCUUACAGCUCUGAAGACUCUUCCUCUUCUGAAGAUGAUCGUACGGAGGAUUUCUUUACUGGGGAGUCAGAUAAUGACUUUAUUUCAAUUUCUUCGGGCUCUAACCCUAAGUCUGGAAGUGGGGGGAGAUCCUCCAAAAAGACUUGGGUAUGUGAGCAUUGUACUUAUGUCAAUGGUCCAGGAGGAAAUGUAUGCACAAUGUGCUGUCGAACGUCCAAGAAUCCAUGUCGUCCAUCAGAAGAGGAAAUGAAUGAGAGGGGAUCAUCUUCAAAGAAAAAGAGUGGUGGAGGAUCAUCUUCCAAGAGGAAUAGUCGGAAUUUGGACGCUAAACAGAGUGAUGAUGAUAAUGACAAUGAGAGACGAAGCACUCGGAGAAAAGAGAGUGUCAAUAAUAGCUCGAAGAAGCGGUCAGAGUCUAAAAAGAAUUCAUCUAAAAGCAAGAGCAAUGGAAACAUAAGUAAUAUUAGUGACUUGGAAGACGAUGCAAUCCAGGCCUACUAUGCCCUUCGAAGGAAGGGAGGGAAAAUGGAUAGUGAAGGAGAUGGAAUAUACGAGUCCAAUUCCAGUGAUGCCGCCUCAGCGCAUAACCCGCACAAAAAGCCAAACUUUGAUGCUCCUGCACCAACUAAAGGGAUCCUGAAAAAGUCAUGCUCUAAUCCACAACUCAGCAAAAUAAUUAAUGAUGAUGAUUUUGAUGAUAUAAGGUCUGUUAUGACAACCAAAACGGAUAUAGGACACCUCAGUGCCAAGUUGAAUCAACAACUAGGUCAUUUUGGACCCUCCAAGGUGGUCGAUAUAAACAAAUAUUUGGCACAAACUCAAACAAAUCCUAAUAUUCAACAAUCGGAUAGAGAUUUCACUGGAUCCUCUGAAGACAUUUGGCAAACGGAGAGAAACGCCUGGAUUCAAAAUCAACAGCGUCAACAUCAGGAUUAUAUGUCAGAUGUUGCAUCCACUGCCACAACUAACAUAAGUCGAUUGUAUCGACCCAUUUCUAAUGGAGUAUCCGAUAAUCAAAGCAUGUAUCAAGAACAUGACAAUGAAAAUUCUAUGAGUCCUUUAAAUGACAAUAACGAAAGUGUCAUCACUUCAACAACCGCCAAUAAUAAUAACAAUAACAGAAUGAUUUCACGAAGGACCUCGGAUGUGAGCUUGGGUAGACGUAAUUUCAGAUCCAAAAGGUUCUCUCGCGAUGCUCAUCGAGACCCAUCCCUUCCACGAGGACGCUUAUACGGAACAGGUGAAGGAGAGGAAGAGGGCGAACAAAAUGAGGACUCCUGGGAUAAAAAAGGAUCUCAUCGUUCUGAUGGAUUAAAAAAAGUGGAAUCCAAUGAGGAUGAGGGCCUUCACUUUACAGCAACCAUUGAGCAACAAGAGGGAGCCGGUCCUCCUGGUGGAAUUGGAAGCUAUCUUUCCAGAAGGGAAUUUGGUAGUAAUGAUGCAAAUGGCAUGCCAGAUAGUGGAUAUGUUAGUCAUAGCAGUGGAGGUGGUUCAUAUACAAAGCUUCAGUUACCGACACAAGAACCGAUUGAAUCCUUUACAAUGUCCGUGGAUCGGGGGUUCCUUGGAAAGAAUCCAACAGAUAGAGACAUGUUCAUAAGUAUGGAUGAUUUGUCCUCACAAAAGGCAAAGGGUUUGGAACUUGUUCGUCUUCUAAGAGAAGCUGAGCAAGCUGGCUACACAGCCGAAGAUAUACAACUCGCUCUCAAUCACUGUGGCGAGAAUAAUCCCAUUAUUUGGCUCAAAGAGAACUGGGACAACAUGAAUGAAACGGUUGUAACUCUAGCUUCCAAUGUAGGCUUCGAAGCCAAAGAAAAUACCAUAGGAACACUAUCAAGAACUGAGGCAACGGAUGCCCUUCGCAAACACAAGGGAAAUGUUUGGGCUGCCGUGACAGAAUGUGUAGAGCUUCGUCAAGCAAAAUAUGAUGAAUUAAGCGGAAAAGGAAACUUUCAAAGAGAGGACAUCGUGACGAUGUUAACAUCUCAUCAUGGAAAUGUUGAGGCUUCAUAUCAAGAGUUGAACAAGGAGCAGCUUAAGCCCUUUUUGAUGAGGAUAUGGGGACAAGGAGAAGUGGGGGAAGUUAGCAGUGGGAAUGUUCCGGCUUUGAAUAAUGAAGAAGAAUCUGUGGAGAACGAUGUCAAGGCUGAAUUCCAUGUACAGCUGAAGAAAUCAACGACACCACCAGAGAUCGUGGAGAAGGAUCCAAAAGUCUUGGAAUUUGAGAGACGAGCUCGAAUGCUCCUUGCCCAAGAAAAGGUUCCUUCCUAUGAAAAGGCAGAGAUUGCUCUUCAGUUAGAAGAAGAAUUUCAGUCAGAAGAUCUCUCCUUGGAAGAUGCAAUUGAGGCCGCCCUCCUAGGGACAGAUCUGGAGUCUGCUCGAUUGAAUCUGAAAAAAGAAUGUGAGCUCUGUGCACAUGGUGUGACCCUUAAAGAAAUUGUUAAACUUCCCAGUGAUUGCGAGCAUCAAUGUUGCAAGGAAUGUACCAAAAAUUACUUCACUCUUAUUAUCAAGGAUCGAAAUAUUAACGAGGCAUCCUGCCCCUUUUGCAAGGAGCCUUCUGCGAUCCUUAUAGACGAAAGCAAGGAGGACGAAGCAUCUAAUUAUUUUACUAAAUUAGACAAUAUCCUUCAACCCAUUGUAGAUAAAGGAAUUCAUGAUUUGUUUCAGAGAAAGCUUAGAGAUCGUAUACUUAUGAAAGACCCGAAUUUCAAAUGGUGCAAUAAGUGUUCAUCAGGCUUCAUUGCAGCACCGCAUACCAAAAAACUAAGUUGUCCAGACUGCAAGGCGGAGUCCUGUGCUCAGUGUCAUGUUCCUUGGGAGCCACAGCAUGAAAAAACGACGUGUGAAGCAUUUGCAGCAUGGAAACGGGACAACGAUCCAGAAUCUCAAGAAAAAGGCUUAGAGGAUCAUCUCAAAGAAUAUGGUAUCACCUGUCCUGCCUGCAAAUUCCGAUACACACUCACAAAAGGAGGCUGCAUGCACUUUGUCUGUACACAAUGCAAAUUCGAAUUUUGUAUCGGGUGUAAGAGACCCUUCAAGAUGGGAGUAAAAUGUGGAAAGGGCCCAGUUUGUGCACGAAUGGGUCUCCAUGCACAUCAUCCUCGGAACUGCUUAUUUUAUUUAAGAGAUAAAGAACCAAAGGAUCUUCAGAAACUUCUUCGUGAGAAGAAAGUGGAGUACAUGACAAACCCUCCUCCAGGUAUUUCCCUGACAGAUGGAUGUCGCGUCCCUAUGCAGAAAGAGAAGGAAGAUGGGACCUUGGAGGAUGGCCCUUGCUCCUUGGAGACACCAGAGGGUUUUGCUGGUUAUUGCAAACAACACUUUAUUGAGUACUUGGGCCAGUUGAUCUUUGACACUCAUCUGGAUCCGUUAAGCAUCAUGGUCCAAGAGGACAUGGAGGCCGCUGUUCAAAGAGCAGGGAAAAGACUACCCACAAAGUAUGGUCUCACAAAUGAGGCCUGGGUAGCAAAGUUAAGAGAUGACACAUUACACGGAGUACCUCUGCGCUGUGAUUUUUGAGCAAAACAUUGAACCAGUAUCAGUAUUCGAAUUGGGAGAAUUGAAACAAAUAUUUAAUCGUACAAGUCAUUUUAUGCCUAGUCAGAGAACUGGAGAAUAUGAAUUUCAAUAUAAGAAACGUCUGAAGGAGAUGAUCAAGCAUGAGAUACCCUUGGAGGCUGUUUAAAGUCACAGAUGUCAUGGUUAUUUUAUGCACUCAAAUCGUCAAUGUUAUUAUUUAUAUAUCAACAAAUCAUUAACAAAUUUAAUUAUUAUUUAUAUUAAAUAAAGUGAAAUGUUUUUUUU